rnacentral:rRNA from 1 species
AGUCAAUAGAUACCCGGGUAGUCCACGCCCUAAACGAUGCCAACUAGGUGUUGGGGAAGGAGACUUCCUUAGUACCGUAGCUAAACGCGUGAAAGUUGGCCGCCUGGGGAGUACGGUCGCAAGAUUAAAACUCAAAGGAAUUGACGGGGACCCGCACAAGCGGUGGAUGAUGUGGAUUAAUUCGAUGCAACGCGAAAAACCUUAACCUACCCUUGACAUGCCAGGAAUCCUGCUGAGAGGUGGGAGUGCCCGAAAGGGAGCCUGGACACAGGUGCUGCAUGGCUGUCGUCAGCUCGUGUCGUGAGAUGUUGGGUUAAGUCCCGCAACGAGCGCAACCCUUGUCAUUAGUUGCCAUCAUUCAGUUGGGCACUCUAAUGAGACUGCCGGUGAC